UACAGAGGUCUCAAGCGUUGUUCGGAUUCAUUGGGCGUAAAGGGUGCGUAGGCGGUGGGUCAAGUCAGGUGUGAAAUCCCGGAGCUCAACUCCGGAACUGCACUUGAUACUGCUUUGCUAGAGUACUGGAGAGGAGACUGGAAUUUACGGUGUAGCAGUGAAAUGCGUAGAUAUCGUAAGGAAGACCAGUGGCGAAGGCGAGUCUCUGGACAGUUACUGACGCUGAGGCACGAAGGCCAGGGGAGCAAACGGG
rnacentral:rRNA from 1 species